UUAGAGUUUGAUCSWGKCUCAGGACGAACGCUGGCGGCGUGCCUAACACAUGCAAGUCGAGCGAUGAAACCUUUCGGGGUGGAUUAGCGGCGGACGGGUGAGUAACACGUGGGUAACCYGCCUCAAAGAGGGGGAUAGCCUCCCGAAARGGAGAUUAAUMCCGCAUMACWUUAGUUUUUCGCAUGAAGAASUAAUUAAAGGAGUAAUCCGYUWUGAGAWGGACCCGCGGYGCMUYAGCUAGUUGGUGAGGUAAAGGCUCACCAAGGCGRCGAUGCGUAGCCGACCUGAGAGGGUGAUCGGCCACAYUGGAAMUGAGACACGGUCCAGACUCCUACGGGAGGCAGCAGUGGGGAAUAUUGCACAAKGGGCGAAAGCCYGAUGCAGCAACGCCGCGUGAGUGAUGAASGCCUUCGGGUUGUAAAGCUCUGUCUUUUGGGACGAUAAUGACGGUACCAAAGGAGGAAGCCACGGCUAACUACGUGCCMGCAGCCGCGGUAAUAC
rnacentral:rRNA from 1 species